GACGAACGCUGGCGGCGUGCUUAACACAUGCAAGUCGACGGAAAGGCCCCUUUGGGGGUACUCGAGUGGCGAACGGGUGAGUAACACGUGAGUAACCUGCCCUUGACUUCGGGAUAACUUCAGGAAACUGGGGCUAAUACCGGAUAGGAAUCCUUGCUGCAUGGUGGGGGUUGGAAAGCUUCGGCGGUUUUGGAUGGACUCGCGGCUUAUCAGCUUGUUGGUGGGGUAGUGGCUUACCAAGGCUUUGACGGGUAGCCGGCCUGAGAGGGCGACCGGCCACAUUGGGACUGAGAUACGGCCCAGACUCCUACGGGAGGCAGCAGUGGGGAAUAUUGCACAAUGGGCGGAAGCCUGAUGCAGCAACGCCGCGUGCGGGAUGACGGCCUUCGGGUUGUAAACCGCUUUCAGCAGGGGCGAAGCUUGUGGUGACGGUACCUGCAGAAGAAGCACCGGCUAACUACGUG
rnacentral:rRNA from 1 species